GCCUGGGUGGCUCAGUCGGUUAAGCGUCCGACUUCGGCUCAGGUCAUGAUUUCACAGUCUGUGGGUUCGAGCCCCGCAUCAGGCU
rfam:Felis catus isolate Cinnamon breed Abyssinian chromosome A3, whole genome shotgun sequence.